UUUUAUUACUUCUUGCAUGUGUUGCAAAUACCACAAUGAGAAAACCCUUUCUGAAUUUCAGCCCAAGUUGUUAAAAAAUUCUUUGGUUUGUCUUUUUCAAUAAAACUUUUCGUUAAGAUCUGCUUAAAAUUUCUAGCUUCCCUGAAAAUAAAUUUAGGUUUCAAUCCUAUAUGUUUUAAAAUAUCAUAAUCUUGCAUUAAAAUAUGCCAAUUUUUGUUUACUAUUCCUUUCAAAGAAUUAACGUUACUCGCAAAGUUAAAAAUGAGAGGAAUUUCAUUAUUCUCUUUAGAUAUAUUUUUCUCUUUAUAAUUUAAAAAGUUGGAGUCUGUCGGAUUUCAAGACUUGAUUAAUUUCUUGUUGUAAGGUCUCCUCAGAAUAACCCUCUUGUUUAAAUUGUUCUUUCAAAACGUUUGCUUGAGUAAUAAAAUCUGACUGGUCAGAACAAUU